AAAUAUAUCAGUGGCUGGAGUUGCCGGAAUACUGGGGUCAGUUCUUCGUACAUCGCUAACUCAGUUAGCUGGAUUUGAUUAUUGACGAUUUGUCAUGAUCUUGGAUUGUUAGGUUCUUCGACGUUCAUCCUGGACUUGCUGUCAUAGCAACAGACUUAUGUGAUCCCCAGGCUUCCCUAAUGUGAUUGGUGCCAUAGACUGCACACACAUCCACAUCAAGGCCCCAAUGAAGGGGAUUUUGUGAACCGAAAAGGGGUUCACAGUGUAAAUGUGCAGGUGAUUAUGACGGGAUCCUGCUUGGAGACAGGGGCUAUGCCUGCAGGCAGCAUUUUAUGACGCCAUUCCCUGACCCAAACCCUGGACCACGAACCCGUUAUAAUGCAGCUCUAGCCAGGACAAGGGCACGCAUUGAAAUGACCUUUGGGCAACUAAAGGGAAGAUUUCAGUGUCUGAAAAGUCUGAGGGUUGCACCUGACAACUGCGACAUUGUUGUAUGUGCUGUAUUACUCAACAUUGCCACCAUCAGAAAGGAGAGGACCCCUGUGGUGGAGGUGCAGCCUGAUGAUCACCUCCAGCCAGUGCACUUGGACCAACCUAGUGGCAGAGCUGCACGAGACAGAAUUGUGGAACACCAUUUUUGAUAAGUUUAAUAAAAGACAAGACAAAUAUGCUUAGUCCCUUGAGAGUUUUAUUACAAUUAUUCUUUGUAAAGAAAAGUAAUGUCAUCUUUUGCCUGCAAUAAGAGAUAUUGUUAUGAAAGGUCAAUAAUAGUACUUUGUGUGAAAUGGUGUAUUAGCACUUAGUCUGAAGUUCCUUUUGAAGCAGCUCUAUCUCUAGUGCCAGUUUCUUCUUCAAGUGGUCAAGUUUUAUUUCUCCCCUUUUUGUUUUUUUUUUCAGGGAAAAACACUAUUUUGUGUUGAAGACUCAGUUUAUAUAGGGAAUGGAUGUCACCCUGUGCCAUUUGUGAACAAAACAAUGAAUACAUGCCUCAUGCAACAAAAAUAAAAAGGAAAAGUACAGUGCAUCCGGAACGUAUUCACAACGCUUCACUUUUUCCACAUUUUGUUAUGUUACAGCCUUAUUCCAAAAUGGAUUAAAUUAAUUAUUUUCCUCAAAAUUCUACAAGCAAUACCCCAUAAUGACAAUGUGAAAGAAGUUUGUUUGAAAAAAAAAAAAAUGAAAAAAAUCCCAUGUACAUAAGUUCACAGCCUUUGCCAUGACACUCAAAAUUGAGCUCAGGUGCAUCCUGUUUCCACUGAUCAUCCUUGAGAUGUUUCUACAACUUGACUGGAGUCCACCUGUGGUAAAUUCAGUUGAUUGGACUUGAUUUGGAAAGGCACACACCUGUCUAUAUAAGGUCCCACAGUUAACAGUGCAUGUGAAUACUUUCUGGAUGCACUGUACAACACCUCCCACUUCUGUAUCAUUGCUCUGUGCAGACUCUUCUGUGGGCCUUUCCGUUGAUGUGGACUCCUGUAACAGUCAGAAAUAAUAGGUACAUGAGUGUAUAUAUAAAUUAAGUCAAGUUAUUUAUGCACUUACAUGUACUUCCUCUAAAGGACAGCCAUCUGAGAGGGUUUCUUCACUGUCCUGUGCAAUGGAAACAAAUGGGCAUUACGAAGUGGUAUGAUACCACUUCGAUAUUGAGGGCUUUCUUCCCUUUUGAUCUAAAAAGUUUGAAGUCCACUUACUGCACAUGCUUCAGCCAGUACUUGCUUGGGAACAGGUAAAAGUGUUUGUGUAUUAUGUAAAACUGCACAAAAGGGGAAAACGUAGGUUCAUUACAAUGAACCACUGUAUAAAAAAAAAAAAAGUGGCAACAUUUUUUACAUUAGAGUUAAUAGUUCACUUUAAGUUAAAGCAAUUCAUCACUAAUCAAGAUUUAACAUAGUUGAAAUGACUGUAACAGCCAUUUGGAUUAUACUUGAUUUAAUGCAGCAACAAAUUAUUUUAGUGUACUAAGAGAACUGAAA